UACAGAGGUCUCAAGCGUUGUUCGGAUUCAUUGGGCGUAAGGGGUGCGUAGGCGGCGCGGUAAGUCGGGUGUGAAAUCUCGGGAGCUUAACUCCGAAACUGCAUUCGAUACUGCCGUGCUUGAGGACUGGAGAGGAGACUGGAAUUUACGGUGUAGCGGUGAAAUGCGUAGAUAUCGUAAGGAAGACCAGUGGCGAAGGCGGGUCUCUGGACAGUUCCUGACGCUGAGGCACGAAGGUCAGGGGAGCAAAACGGG
rnacentral:rRNA from 1 species